AGUGAACGCUGGCGGUAGGCCUAACACAUGCAAGUCGAACGGCAGCACAGUAAGAGCUUGCUCUUACGGGUGGCGAGUGGCGGACGGGUGAGGAAUACAUCGGAAUCUACUUUUUCGUGGGGGAUAACGUAGGGAAACUUACGCUAAUACCGCAUACGACCUACGGGUGAAAGCAGGGGAUCUUCGGACCUUGCGCGAUUGAAUGAGCCGAUGUCGGAUUAGCUAGUUGGCGGGGUAAAGGCCCACCAAGGCGACGAUCCGUAGCUGGUCUGAGAGGAUGACAGGCCCAAGUGAGAAGGAAAACGGGCCAGGCCUCCUACGGGAGGAGGCAGGGGGGAAUAUUGGAAAAAGGGGGCAGUCUGGACCCAGCCAUACCGGGUGGGGAAAGAAGGCUUUCGGGUUGUAAGGCCUUUUUUGGGGAAAAAAAAAGCAGCAGGUUAAUACCCCGCUGUUCUGAGGGUACCAAAAAAAUAAGCACGGGCUAACCUCGGG
rnacentral:rRNA from 1 species